UCUAGGCUGAGCUGGAGCAGGGUGUGAAGAGGGGUGAGCAUUCAACACAAUGACCUCAUGCCUCUUGCCCACCGCCAGGUGGUCCCCCUCGCCAUCGAAAUUGCUGGUGUCUCUUGAGUGCGGAACACGCCAAGGUCUGGCGGUGGAGGGACAGGCCUCUCUGCAGUGCCUAAUCCAGGGCCUGGCACAUUGUCAGAACCCGGUGGUCAUUAAAGGAAUAAGUGAAGAAAUGGAUGAUCUGGAUCCAGGUGAUGGCCUCCAAGUCGCCCAGGGAGGAAGUGAAGACAGCCCUUCUCCAGUCUUACAGUAGAGAGGAGAGUUGGCCUGCUGGCUCAGUGGUAAGGCAUCCACCUGCCUAUGCAGGAGAUGUGAGUUCAGUCCCUGAUCCAGAAGAUCCGUAUGCUGGGAAGCCUGUGAGUCACAACUGUUGAGCUUAUGCUUGAGAGCCCAGGAGCUGCAACCCCUGAGUCCGUUUGCCACUCCUGAAGCCCAUGCGCCCGAGCGUCCACACUCCGCAAGAGAAGCCAAACUAGAGAAAAGCCUACACAGCAAUGAAGACCCAGCACAGCCAAAGUUGCUCGCUAAGUCGCUUCAGUCAUGUUCGACUCUCUGCAACGCUAUGGA